AGUGAACGCUGGCGGUAGGCCUAACACAUGCAAGUCGAACGGCAGCACAGUAAGAGCUUGCUCUUACGGGUGGCGAGUGGCGGACGGGUGUGGAAUACAUCAGAAUCUACUUUUUCGUGGGGGAUAACGUAGGGAAACUUACGCUAAUACCGCAUACGACCUACGGGUGAAAGCAGGGGAUCUUCGGACCUUGCGCGAUUGAAUGAGCCGAUGUCGGAUUAGCUAGUUGGCGGGGUAAAGGCCCACCAAGGCGACGAUCCGUAGCUGGUCUGAGAGGAUGAUCAACCACACUGGAACUGAGACACGGUCCAGACUCCUACGGGAGGCAGCAGUGGGGAAUAUUGGACAAUGGGCGCAAGCCUGAUCCAGCCAUACCGCGUGGGUGAAGAAGGCCUUCGGGUUGUAAAGCCCUUUUGUUGGGAAAGAGAAGCAGCAGGUUAAUACCCCGCUGUUCUGACGGUACCCAAAGAAUAAGCACCGGCUAACUUCGUG
rnacentral:rRNA from 1 species